rnacentral:rRNA from 1 species
GCAUAUCAAUAAGCGGAGGAAAAAAGAAAACUAACAAAGGAUUCCCCUAGUAACUGCGAGUGAAGCGGGAAAAAGCUCAAAUUUAAAAUCUGGCGGUCUAUGGCUGUCCGAGUUGUAAUCUAGAGAAGUGAUGCCCGCGCUGGACCGUGUACAAGUCUCCUGGAAUGGAGCGUCAUAGAGGGUGAGAAUCCCGUCUCUGACACGGACUACCAGGGCUUUGUGGUAUGCUCUCAAAGAGUCGAGUUGUUUGGGAAUGCAGCUCUAAAUGGGUGGUAAAUUCCAUCUAAAGCUAAAUAUUGGCGAGAGACCGAUAGCGAACAAGUACCGUGAGGGAAAGAUGAAAAGAACUUUGGAAAGAGAGUUAAACAGUACGUGAAAUUGCUGAAAGGGAAACGCUUGAAGUCAGUCGCGUUAGCUAGGACUCAGCCUCGCUCUUGCGUGGUGUACUUUCUGGUUGACGGGUCAGCAUCAAUUUUGACUGCUGGAAAAAGGUCUUGGGAAUGUGGCAGCUUCGGCUGUGUUAUAGCCCUUGGUCACAUACAGCGGUUGGGAUUGAGGAACUCAGCACGCCGCAAGGCCGGGUUUCGACCACGUUCGUGCUUAGGAUGCUGGCAUAAUGGCUUUAAGCGACCCGUCUUGAAACACGGACCAAGGAGUCUAACAUGCCUGCGAGUGUUUGGGUGGUAAACCCGAGCGCGUAAUGAAAGUGAAAGUUGAGAUCCCUGUCGUGGGGAGCAUCGACGCCCGGACUUGAACUUUUGUGACGGAUCCGCGGUAGAGCAUGUAUGUUGGGACCCGAAAGAUGGUGAACUAUGCCUGAAUAGGGUGAAGCCAGAGGAAACUCUGGUGGAGGCUCGUAGCGAUUCUGACGUGCAAAUCGAUCGUCAAAAUUUUGGGGUAUAGGGCGAAAGACUAAUCGAAACCAUCUAGUAGCUGGGUUCCUGCGA